UGUCAAUUACACAGGGCCUUCUCUCUCUUCCCGCCCCCUCGCCCCUGCUCCUGCUCCCUAUUGGCUGAGCCUAGCUGAAGUCACCCCGCUAUAGAGCCAGGCAGCUGUCAAUCACACAGGGCCCACAACAGCCCAGAGAUGGGUUGAGUGCGAAUCUGGGGGACCCUGUGAAUCAAUCACCUCAGCGCCUGCACAGUGGGAAGGGGUACCCCCUGGCACGUUGCUGCCAAGUUUCAACAGCGCUUAGAGGGGAAGCGGCAGAAGCAAUUCGGCUUCUCAAUGGGCUUGCCCCGGCGUGCGCUUGCACGAAGCAUUGGCAGGAAGGAAGCUUACAAAUUCAUCUGGGACCAACAGCUUCCAGGGAUCCCGUGAGAUGCGGGGCGUGGAGGGUUUGUGGAAACAGCAGAGGAAGACGUCCCUUUGCUGUGUCUUCAUCUUCCACCGUGGUUGCGAGGCCUUCCCCAGCCAUGUGAAACCUGAUGGGAUUUCACCAUGUUGGCUGGUGUUGAACUCCUGACCUCAAGUGAUCCACCCACCUCGGCCUUCUAAAGUGCUGGGAUUACAGGUGCCCCUGGCUUCAGAGAAUCACACUUCUCCGUGCCACUAAAUUCAGACACCACCAUGGACUGCAAAUUUGAGCAGAAGUGAGGUGUGUCACUUGCUAUCAGAAGCCUGGGUCAUGGUUGCACUUGGAGAACAAAAUUUUUUGAAAAUAUUUAAGUUCUGGGAUACAUCUGCAGAACGUGCAGUGACGGGAUUUCACCAUGUUGGCUGGUGUUGAACUCCUGACCUCAAGUGAUCCACCCACCUCGGCCUCCUAAAGUGCUGGGAUUACAGAAUUCAAGGUCCCUGAUAAGACAUCUUUGAGGUCAGGCAUAAAUCAUCACUUCACAUCUUCACGGCAAUGCAAUGAAGACAAGUAUCUGCCUCCUCGGGUCUGUCUAACAAGGAGCAAAGCCUGGCCUCCCACCAGCAUCCAGGCAAUAGUGGAUUCCCUCUCCAUAGAUGUCAAAAAAGAAACAGAUGCUCCUGCAGGUGAAAUGAGCUUUGGUCCACGGUGUAACACAGGCUGUGCAGAAAAUCAAAGAGGAAUCGACCCAGAAGUAUUCCCCAGGACAAAUCCUUCAGAGGGAAAAGGCAAGUGGUACAACUCUUUAUUUCAUGAUUCUACUAGAAAAAAAAAUAGCGGCAUUCAUUAAAAUAUUGAGAUAAUUGGCAGGUAGAAUGAACCAAAAACAAUUAACAGAGGUUCCCAGGAGAAUGGAGGACAAUUGAGACAGGGUGUGAGGUGGAGAGGCAUAAUUUGUUCUAGUGAUCCUGUCAUUCCAGCCUUUCCAAUGAUAAUAUAUUGAUGAAUGCAUUGCCCAGAUAACAUUUUAAAAGGUUUUAAGUGGCUGGGCAUGGUGGCUCACGCCUGUAAUCCCAGCAUUUUGGGUGGCCGAGGCAGGUGGAUCACCUGAGGUCAGGAGUUUAAGACCAGCCUGGCCAACAUGGAGAAACCCCGUCUCUACUAAAAAUACAAAAAAUUAGCCAGGCGUGGUGGCACAUGCCUGUAAUCCCAGCUACCCGGAAGGCUGAGGCACGAGAAUCACUUGAACCCGGGCGGAGGCAGAGGUUGCAGUGAGCCAAGAUCAUGCAAUUGCACUCUAACCUGGGCAACAAGAGCAAAACUGUGUCUCAAAACAAACAAACAAAAAGGUUUAAAGUGGCCGGGUGCAUGACUCCAUCUCAAAAAAAAAAAAAAA